GAUCGUCUAAUGGUAGGACGACAGGUUCUGGUCCUGUUAAUCUUGGUUCGAGUCCAAGUCUCGGAACA
rnacentral:tRNA from 1 species